UUAUUGCGCGAUUCCCUUGAGUUGAUCAUGGCUCAGAAUGAACGCUGGCGGCGUGCUUUACACAUGCAAGUCGAGCGAGGCGGCCCGCAAGGGCCAGUCGAGCGGCGAACGGGUGAGUAACACGUGGAUUAUCUACCCUAAGGUGGGGAACAACCCGGGGAAACUCGGGCUGAUACCGCAUGAUACCGAAAGGUCAAAGGGGGCUCGCAAGGGCUUCCGCCAUAGGAGGAGUCUGCGUCCGAUUAGCUAGUUGGUAGGGUAAUGGCCUACCAAGGCGACGAUCGGUAGCCGGCCUGAGAGGGUGAUCGGCCACACUGGAACUGAGACACGGUCCAGACUCCUACGGGAGGCAACAGUGGGGAAUUUUGCGCAAUGGGCUAACGCCUGACGCAGCAACGCCGCGUGGAGGAUGAAGGUCCUUGGAUUGUAAACUCCUGUCAGCAGGGAAAAAGCGACUCGGGUGAAUACCCCGGGGAGUUGAUUGUACCUGCAGAGGAAGCCCCGGCUAACUCUGUGCCAGCAGCCGCGGUAAUACAGAGGGGGCAAGCGUUAUUCGGAAUUAUUGGGCGUAAAGGGCGCGUAGGCGGCUUGGCAAGUGGAAGGUGAAAUCCCUCGGCUUAACCGAGGAACUGCCCUCCAAACUGCUUUGCUUGAGGCCGGGAGAGGUGAGUGGAAUUCCCAGUGUAGCGGUGAAAUGCGUAGAUAUUGGGAGGAACACCAGUGGCGAAGGCGGCUCACUGGACCGGUUCUGACGCUGAAGCGCC
rnacentral:rRNA from 1 species